AGUGGAAUCUGGACAAGUCUUCGCGCUCAUUGUACAGGUCUUUGACCAUGGAGACCCCGUGUUAAUGACUGAAGCUAUUGUGAUCAUCAGUGUCAACGCGCUGGUUUCGAAGUCUACGUCUCAAGCUAACCAAUGUGUCAUAUAUGUCAAAGAGGUCUGAUAUAUUGUGCCAUUAUUGUAAUAUUUUUUUUACAAAUCUAUUUCUAUACCAAAAGAGCAAAUGUGUCACUCUUAUUGGCUUCUACCGAAUAUGUUUAGUAAUUGUGUGUAGGUGUUUUUGUUUUUUGUAACAGUUUGAAAAAAAAAAAGAAUUGAUUCUACUCUUUUGGAGAUAAUUCACUAAAAAUACUUAAAGUAAAGUAAGUCAAACAUUGUUUGGGUGACGAUUCUUUGUUUUCUCCAUUCUGUAUUAUUGCCCCUGAAUAUUUAUUAUUACCGCUUGUUUGCUUCUCUUUAAGUGGCGAAGUAGGCUAUUAGCUUGAAUGACGUCUAAUUCAUUAAAUUGUAAGUUUUUUUAUUUUGAUUAUUUGUUGUAUUACAGUGUUCUCAUACAAUGUUUGUUAAAUAGUAAACUAGAUCUAAACUUUUUAAAAUUUAUUCCUUGUCUUAUUUUCUUUCGGCAAGUUUGUUAUAUGGUUCAAUAUAACCGACGAUGCAUCUAGUAAAACAAAGUUCACACAGUGAAGUAGACUCUAUACUAUCCAAAACAAGCACCUUAACCACCC
rnacentral:sRNA from 1 species